CACCCAGCAGCUAGCCCAUCCCCCCAAAAACAACCAAAA
rnacentral:rRNA from 1 species